UUACUUAUAGCUAAAAUUAAAAACUCUUUAGAUCGUUAUGAGAAUAAACUUUAUAAGUUUUAUCUUGUUAAGACUGAUAAUAACUGUCAUUAUGUGAUGGGAGAUACAGAUAUUAAGAUUUUAUCUCAUAAAUAUUGUAUAAAAAAGAGAACGACUAAUAUUAUAUUGCAGUUUCGAAGCAAUCGCGUCUGUGUAUUUUUUAUCGUCAAUAUGCUUCAUCUAAUUUUCAUAAUGUUCCUAAUGCAAUACAGUAUUGCGAAGACGUAUACCAUUGAAGUGAGAGGUGAACGACCGGUCAAGGACAGUGAAGAUUAUAUAAUCCAAGGAUUCCAUAAAAUUGACAAAAGAGGUGUUUAUAACGUAGAAACUUUUUCUAGACCUACUGGAAUGCACUCCAAGGAACAAACAGUUAUAGUUGUACCUAACGAAGGGUCAGCCACUCAAACGCGAAACAACGCAAAUAAAGAAACAGUCGUCGUUAUGAGCUCAGGU